rnacentral:rRNA from 1 species
UGAACGCUAGCUACAGGCUUAACACAUGCAAGUCGAGGGGCAGCAUGAACUUAGCUUGCUAAGUUGAUGGCGACCGGCGCACGGGUGAGUAACGCGUAUCCAACCUGCCCAUCACUUGGGGAUAACCUUGCGAAAGUAAGACUAAUACCCAAUGACGUCUCUAGAAGACAUCUGAAAGAGAUUAAAGAUUUAUCGGUGAUGGAUGGGGAUGCGUCUGAUUAGCUUGUUGGCGGGGUAACGGCCCACCAAGGCGACGAUCAGUAGGGGUUCUGAGAGGAAGGUCCCCCACAUUGGAACUGAGACACGGUCCAAACUCCUACGGGAGGCAGCAGUGAGGAAUAUUGGUCAAUGGACGAGAGUCUGAACCAGCCAAGUAGCGUGCAGGAUGACGGCCCUAUGGGUUGUAAACUGCUUUUAUAAGGGAAUAAAGUGAGUCUCGUGAGGCUUUUUGCAUGUACCUUAUGAAUAAGGACCGGCUAAUUCCGUG